rnacentral:tRNA from 1 species
GGAUUGUGGCUCAGUGGUAGAGCACUGGCCUAGCUGUGUGAGGCCCUGGGUUUGAUCCUCAGCACCA